rnacentral:misc_RNA from 1 species
GGUUCCCUUUCAGAAGCACAUGAAGUUCUGAAGUUGGCUAGGAAACAAGUGAAGCAAACUGCUCGGAAUAUGCCUCAGCACUUGGCAUGCCUUGAUGUAAUUGAAGAAGGCAUAGUCCAUGGUGGAUAUAAUGGGAUUCUCAAGGAAGCUAAAGUUUUUGAGGACCUUGUAUUAUCAGAUACAUCAAGAGGUCUUGUUCACGUAUUUUUUGCCCAACGGGCUACAUCAAAGGUACCUAAUGUAACUGAUAUUGGUCUGAAACCAAGGUCAGUGAAGAAAGUUGCCAUAAUAGGUGGAGGUUUAAUGGGUU